CUCGGAGUUUGAUCCUGGCUCAGAUUGAACGCUGGCGGAAUGCUUUACACAUGCAAGUCGAACGGUAGAGGGGGCAACCCCUUGAGAGUGGCGAACGGGUGAGUAAUAUAUCGGAACGUGCCCAGUCGUGGGGGAUAACGUAGCGAAAGUUACGCUAAUACCGCAUACGAUCUAAGGAUGAAAGCGGGGGACUCGUAAGGGCCUCGCGCGAUUGGAGCGGCCGAUAUCAGAUUAGGUUGUUGGUGAGGUAAAACGCUCACCAAGCCUGCGAUCUGUAGCUGGUCUGAGAGGAUGAUCACGCCACGACUGGGGACUGAGACACGGCCCAGACUCGUACGGGAGCAGCAGU
rnacentral:rRNA from 1 species